CAGUCGCCGCGGGAAUACAGAGGGUGCAAGCGUUAAUCGGAUUUACUGGGCGUAAAGGGCGCGUAGGUGGUUAUUUAAGUGAGAUGUGAAAUCCCCGGGCUUAACCUGGGAACUGCAUCUUAUACUGGGUAACUGGAGUGCAGUAGAGGGUAGUGGAAUUUCCGGUGUAGCGGUGAAAUGCGUAGAUAUCGGAAGGAACACCAGUGGCGAAGGCGGCUACCUGGACUGAGACUGACACUGAGGCGCGAGAGCGUGGGGAGCAAACAGGAUUAGAUACCCCCGUAGUCCCUGUCUCUUAUAC
rnacentral:rRNA from 1 species